GCGUGAUUAGCUCAGCUGGGAGAGCACCUCCCUUACAAGGAGGGGGUCGGCGGUUCGAUCCCGUCAUCACCCACCA
rnacentral:tRNA from 1 species